GGCUUCGACGGGUAGCUGGACUGAGAGGUCGGCCAGCCACAAUGGUACUGCGACACGGACCAUACACCUACGGGUGGCAGCAACCGGGAAUAUUCGACAAUGGACGAAAGUCUGAUCGAGCGACGCCGCGUGGAGGAUUGAAGGCCCUCGGGUUGUAAACUCCUUUUGUAAGGGAAGAUUAUGACGGUACCUUACGAAUAAGCACUUGCUAACUACGUGCCAGAAGCCUCGGUAAUGCGUAGAGUGCAAACGUUAUCCGGAUUUAUUGGGCGUAAAGAGUUGCGUAGGCGGUUAGGCGCAUUUUGUUUGAAAGCCUCCGACUUAAUUGGAGAUUUGGACAAAAUAUGGCUUAACUUGAUGGUUGAAGAGGGUGCUGGAACCGAUGGUGUAGCAGUGAAAUGCGUUGAUAUCAUCGGGAACACCAAAGGCGUAGGCAGGCACCUAGUCAACUUAUGACGCUGAGGCACGAAAGCUGGGGGAGCGAAACAGAUUAGAGACCUG
rnacentral:rRNA from 1 species